ensembl:lncRNA
UUCACCGGCUCCAACGCCACCACCGACCGCAGCAGCAACAGUCCGCGGUCUUUCAGUCCUCUCCGAGUCCGAGCGUGUCCUGGUUUCCAUAGUUACAAAAGAGCGGGAUUUUGUCUACCGUAUUUACAUUGUUUCACAGAAGCUUGCACACUGCUUUCAAACUUUUAAAACUGCAGAGUUCUCCAGCUCUGGGUCAAGACCCUCAUAACGCUGUUUCCUCAGCCAGGCUGGGUCGUGCAGAUUUCUCUUGGAGAGAGAGUCUCCAGCUGCCAUCACACAAAAACAUCUUCACAUGCGUGCAGCAGCAGCAGCCAUGGUGAGCUACAUCAAACAGGGCUGGUCAGGCACCCCAUAGACUUUCAACUUCAGAGCCACAUCCAGACUUUUCUUUUGACUCCCUCUGUCUCCAAGACCACCACACAGGGUCAGAGAGCACUGUACACGGUCCUAGGGACUUUUCAUGGCAGUUCCUCAGAGGUGUGUUGCAAACAGUAUUUCAAUGUUCCAUUAAAGGUGCAGUAAAUUUUUUUGAUAAUUAAAAAAUCCUGAUCAUAAAUUAAUAGUGCUUUUGAGAAAUGGAACAGACCAACAUCAAAGCAAAGAAAUUUAAGAUUGAAUCCAAGAACAUCCAUAUUGAUGUUUACUAUGAGAAAAACAGAUAUGUUUAUAUAUAAAUGUAUUCACAAAU